rnacentral:rRNA from 1 species
UACGGGGGGGGUAAGCGUUGUUCGGAAUUACUGGGCGUAAAGGGCGCGUAGGCGGCCUGCUAAGUCGAACGUGAAAUCCCCGGGCUCAACCCGGGAACUGCGUCCGAUACUGACAGGCUUGAAUCCGGGAGAGGGAUGUGGAAUUCCAGGUGUAGCGGUGAAAUGCGUAGAUAUCUGGAGGAACACCGGUGGCGAAGGCGGCAUCCUGGACCGGUAUUGACGCUGAUGCGCGAAAGCCAGGGGAGCAAACGGG